GUCCCUGUAGCGCAAUAGAUAGCGCGUUGGAUUUCUAAUCCACAGGUCGUGGGUUUGAAUCUCACCUGAGAUG